AGGCAGUAGAGAUGACCAGGGAUGUUCUCUGUUUAGUGAGUCCGCCAAAUCAGAGGCAGUAGAGAUGACCAGGGAUGUUCUCUGUUUAGUGAGUCUGCCAAAUCAGAGGCAGUAGAGAUGACCAGGGAUGUUCUCUGUUUAGUGAGUCUGCCAGGUCAGAGGCAGUAGGGAUGACCAGGGAUGUUCUCUUGAUAAGUUGUGAAUUAGACCAUUUUCCUGUCCUGCUGAGCAUUCAAAAUGUAACAAGUACUUUUGGGUGUCAGGAAAAAUGUAGUGAGGUAAAAGUAAAAGUUGGCAAAAAUAUUAAUAGAAAAGUAAAGUACAGAUACCCAAAAAACUACUUAAGAGGUACAUUAAAGCAUUUUUACUUAAGUACUUUACACCACUGUAGACAAGCUACUCUAACUUAAUUGAUAGCCUGAAAUGGCUUCUUGGUAGUUAGGUUCCCAAUCUCCCAACCUCAUAACUAUCUGGGCUAGUUAAAGCCAUCUUCAUAAAAUGUCUAGGUGGCUAGUAGUAUUGCAGAGAAACAACAAUAACAAAAAAUAUAUACACAGUACCAGUCAAAAGUUUCAAGAGCUUUAAUUAAGAGUUUCUUCAAAUGCAGUCGCAAAAACCAUCCAGCGCUAUUAUGGAACUGGCUCUCAUGAGGACCGCCACAGAAAAGGAAGACCCAGAGUUACCUCUGCUGCAGAAGGUAAGUUCAUUAGAGUUACCAGACUCAGAAAUUGCAGCCCAAAUAAAUGCUUGACAGAGUUCAAGUAACAGACAUCAACAUCAACUGUUCAGAGGAGACUGAGUGAAUCAGGCCUUAAUGGUUGAAUUGCUGCAAAGAAAACACUACUAAAGGACACCAAUAAGAAGAAGAGACUUGCUGGGCCAAGAAACAUGAGCAAUGGAAAUCUGUCAUUUGGUCUGUUGAGUACAAAUUGGAGAAUUUUGGUUCCAACUGCGUGUCUUUCUGAGACGCAGAGUAGGUGAACGGAUUAUCUCUGCAUGUGUGGUUCCCACCGUGAAGCAUGGAGGAGGAGGUGUGAUGGCAUGUGGGUGGUUUGCUGGUGACACUGUCUGUGAUUUAUUUAGAAUUCAAGGCACACUUAACCAGCAUUGCUACCCAGCAUUCUGCAGCGAUACGCCAUCCCAUCUGUUUUGCUCUUAGUGGGACUAUCAUUUGUUUUUCAACAGGACAAUGAUCCAACACACCUCUAGGCUGUGUAAGGGUUAUUUGACCAAGAAGGAGAGGGAUGGCGUGUUGCAGAUGACCUGGCCUCCACAAUCACCUGACCUCAACCCAAUUGACAUGGUUUGGGAUGAGUUGGACCACAGAGUGAAGGAAAAGUAAACGCAUUCCUGGUGAAGGUGGUUGAGAGAAUGCCAAGAGUGUGCAAAGCUGUCAUCAAGGCAAAGGGUGGCUACAUUGAAGAAUAUAAAAUAUAAAAUAUAUUUUGAUUUGUUUAACACUUUUUUUGGUUACCACAUGAUUCCAUAUGUAUUAUUUCAUAGUUAUGAUGUUUUCUAUUAUUAAACAGUUUUUUUUAAAUAAAGAAAAACCCUUGAAUGAGUAGGUGUGUCCAAACUAUUGACUGGUACUGUAUAUAUAUUUUUAAUAAAUAUAUUUUAAACAGGAUACAUCUGAGCGGGCAUGAUACCCCCUAUGGGCAUGACACCUCGGUGUGUGUGUGUGUGUGUGUGUGUGUGUGUGUGUGUGUGUGUGUGUGUGUGUGUGUGUGUGUGUGUGUGUGUGUGUGUGUGUGUGUACACUGUGUGUGUGUACACUGAGACAGAGAAAAUGGCUGUGUAAAUGGCAUCUCUUUCUGGCCAGGAGCAGCUGAGGCUCUGCAUUAUCAGUCUGAGUAACCUGUAGAGAGAUCGAAGCCUACAGAGCCAGAGAGCACCUAGCCUGCCUGCUAUGUGUACAGCUACUACCACUACCACUACCACUACCACUAUCACUACUACCACUACCACUAC
ensembl:lncRNA